AUGUCUGGGAAACUGCCUGAUGGAGGGGGAUAACUACUGGAAACGGUGGCUAAUACCGCAUAACGUCGCAAGACCAAAGAGGGGGACCUUCGGGCCUCUUGCCAUCAGAUGUGCCCAGAUGGGAUUAGCUUGUUGGUGAGGUAACGGCUCACCAAGGCGACGAUCCCUAGCUGGUCUGAGAGGAUGACCAGCCACACUGGAACUGAGACACGGUCCAGACUCCUACGGGAGGCAGCAGUGGGGAAUAUUGCACAAUGGGCGCAAGCCUGAUGCAGCCAUGCCGCGUGUAUGAAGAAGGCCUUCGGGUUGUAAAGUACUUUCAGCGGGGAGGAAGGUGUUGUGGUUAAUAACCGCAGCAAUUGACGUUACCCGCAGAAGAAGCACCGGCUAACUCCGUGCCAGCAGCCGCGGUAAUACGGAGGGUGCAAGCGUUAAUCGGAAUUACUGGGCGUAAAGCGCACGCAGGCGGUCUGUCAAGUCGGAUGUGAAAUCCCCGGGCUCAACCUGGGAACUGCAUUCGAAACUGGCAGGCUUGAGUCUUGUAGAGGGGGGUAGAAUUCCAGGUGUAGCGGUGAAAUGCGUAGAGAUCUGGAGGAAUACCGGUGGCGAAGGCGG
rnacentral:rRNA from 1 species